GAUGAACGCUGGCGGUAUGCUUAACACAUGCAAGUCGAACGGUCACUUCGGUGAUAGUGGCGGACGGGUGAGUAACGCGUGAGAAUCUGUCUUCAGGUCGGGGACAACAGUUAGAAAUGACUGCUAAUACCGGAUGUGCCUUUGGGUGAAAGAUUUAUUGCCUGAAAAAGAGCUCGCGUCAGAUUAGCUAGUAGGUGGUGUAAGAGGCUACCUAGGCUCCGAUCUGUAGCUGGUCUGAGAGGACGAUCAGCCACACUGGAACUGAGACACGGUCCAGACUCCUACGGGAGGCAGCAGUGGGGAAUUUUCCGCAAUGGGCGAAAGCCUGACGGAGCAAUACCGCGUGAGGGACGAAGGCUUUUGGGUCGUAAACCUCUUUUCUCAAGGAAGAUGAUGACGGUACUUGAGGAAUAAGCAUCGGCUAACUCUGUG
rnacentral:rRNA from 1 species